AACAAGACCAACAUGGCGGAUGUCUAAAAAUUUGAAUGAGACGGAAAUACCACUGGUUGAAAGUGUAGUUUUUCCAAUGCCAUUUUUCACCCUGGAGAUCGUUCCCACGUGACGUUCAUUAGUUGCUAAACAUCUUCUUGUAUGUUGCUGGAACGCUGUGCUGGACAUUGUUAUCUCGCAAAAGUCCUUAUUCAAUAAUAGCCCAAAAAUUUGGAGAUGAAUUUAACUGACAGUUAAUCUGUAUUUGCUGGUAAACCUACACUGCAUGCCCGCAGGAAAUUUCACAUGGAUCAAUCAAUAAUCACUCAAGAAAUAUAUUUUUGAUACUAC